GCAAAGUGUCAUCUAUGCAAUAGACAGAGUGACGUUUUGCAGAACAUCAGCACCACGGAGAUUUCUGCUGACUAUAACGUGGCAGACAGAUUGAGAGCUGACAUAGGACUAAGCCAAGAUGGUGAAUGUCUUGGCUGUUGUUGCUGCCAGGCUCCUUGUAUUAGUCAAAGUUCUCCAGAAAGAGACUUCCCUGGUGGUGCAGUGGUUAUGAAUCUACCUUGCAAUGCAGAGGAUGUGAGUUUGAUCGCUGAUCAGGGACUAAGAUCCCACACGCCACUGAGCAACUAAGUCCACACACCACAACCAGAGAAUCCGUGCACCGCAACAAAGACCCUGUGCGCCACAACUAAGAUUCAACACAGCCAAAUAAACAAAUAUUUUUUUAAAAGGUUCUUCAGAGAAAAAGAAUCAAUAGAAUAUAUGAGUGCAUAAGGA